rnacentral:rRNA from 1 species
AGUGAACGCUGGCGGUAGGCCUAACACAUGCAAGUCGAACGGCAGCACAGUAAGAGCUUGCUCUUACGGGUGGCGAGUGGCGGACGGGUGAGGAAUACAUCGGAAUCUACUUUUUCGUGGGGAUAACGUAGGGAAACUUACGCUAAUACCGCAUACGACCUACGGGUGAAAGCAGGGGAUCUUCGGAACCUGCGCGAUUGAAUGAGCCGAUGUCGGAUUAGCUAGUUGGCGGGGUAAAGGCCCACCAAGGCGACGAUCCGUAGCUGGUCUGAGAGGAUGAUCAGCCACACUGGAACUGAGACACGGUCCAGACUCCUACGGGAGGCAGCAGUGGGGAAUAUUGGACAAUGGGCGCAAGCCUGAUCCAGCCAUACCGCGUGGGUGAAGAAGGCCUUCGGGUUGUAAAGCCCUUUUGUUGGGAAAGAAAAGCAGCAGGUUAAUACCCCGCUGUUCUGACGGUACCCAAAGAAUAAGCACCGGCUAACUUCGUG